rnacentral:rRNA from 1 species
AAUAGAUACCCUGGUAGUCCACGCCGUAAACUAUGAUUACUCGAUGUCGGCGAUAUACUGUCGGUGUCCAAGCGAAAGUGAUAAGUAAUCCACCUGGGGAGUACGAUCGCAAGGUUGAAACUCAAAGGAAUUGACGGGGGCCCGCACAAGCGGUGGAGCAUGUGGUUUAAUUCGAUGAUACGCGAGGAACCUUACCUGGGCUUGAAUGCAUUAUGACCGUCCCGGAAACGGGACUUUCUUCGGACAGAAUGCAAGGUGCUGCAUGGUUGUCGUCAGCUCGUGCUGUGAGGUGUCGGGUUAAGUCCCAUAACGAGCGCAACCCCUAUUCUUAGUUGCCAGCGGGUAAUGCCGGGGACUCUAAGAAACUGCCCGCGUAAGCGGUGAGGAAGGUGGGGAUGACGUCAAAUCAUCACGGCCCUUACGUCCAGGGCUACACACGUGCUACAAUGGUCAGUACAAAGGGCAGCUACCUGGUGACAGGAUGCUAAUCUCGAAAACUGAUCUCAGUUCGGAUCGAAGUCUGC